rnacentral:rRNA from 1 species
CUGGUUGAUCCUGCCAGUAGUCAUAUGCUUGUCUCACAAGAUAUAAGCCAUGCAUGUCUAAGUAUAAGCAAUUAUACAGCGAAACUGCGAAUGGCUCAUUAUAUAAGUUAUCGUUUAUUUGAUAGUGCCUUACUACUUGGAUAACCGUGGUAAUUCUAGAGCUAAUACAUGCUGAAAGCCCCGACUCACGGAGGGGCGUAUUUAUUAGAUUAAAAACCAAUGCCCUUCGGGGCUCCUUGGUGAUUCAUGAUAACUUCUCGAAUCGCACGGCCUUGCGCCGGCGACGGUUCAUUCAAAUUUCUUCCCUAUCAACUUUCGAUGUUUGGGUAGUGGCCAAACAUGGUGGCAACGGGUAACGGAGGGUUAGGGCUCGACCCCGGAGAAGGAGCCUGAGAAACGGCUCCUACAUCCAAGGAAGGCAGCAGGCGCGCAAAUUACCCAAUCCCGACUCGGGGAGGUAGUGACAAUAAAUACUGAUGCAGGGCUCUUUAGGGUCUUGCAAUUGGAAUGAGUACAAUUUAAAUCCCUUAACGAGGAACAAUUGGAGGACAAGUCUGGUGCCA